rnacentral:rRNA from 1 species
CUGCUGCCUUCCGUAGGAGUUUGGGCCUGUCUCAGUCCCAAUGUGGCCGUCCACCCUCUCAGGCCGGCUACUGAUCGUCGCCUUGGUGGGCCCCUACCCCGCCAACAAGCUAAUCAGACGCGGGUCCAUCUUACACCACCGGAGUUUUUCACACCGGGCCAUGCGGCCCUGUGCGCUUAUGCGGUAUUAGCACCUGUUUCCAGGUGUUAUCCCCCUGUGUAAGGCAGGUUACCCACGCGUUACUCACCCGUCCGCCACUCGAAUCG